rnacentral:rRNA from 1 species
GUAGGUGACAAGCGUUGUCCGGAUUUACUGGGCGUAAAGAGCGCGCAGGCGGUCGUUCAAGUCGAGUGUGAAAGCCCCCGGCUCAACUGGGGAGGGUCAUUCGAUACUGAUCGACUCGAAGGCAGGAGAGGGUAGUGGAAUUCCCGGUGUAGUGGUGAAAUGCGUAGAUAUCGGGAGGAACACCAGUGGCGAAGGCGACUACCUGGCCUGUUCUUGACGCUGAGGCGCGAAAGCUAGGGGAGCAAACGGGAUUAGAUACCCCGGUAGUCCUAGCCGUAAACGAUGGACACUAGGUGUUGGUGGUAUCAACCCCGCCAGUGCCGAAGCUAACGCAUUAAGUGUCCCGCCUGGGGAGUACGGCCGCAAGGCUA